AGCAUAUCAAUAAGCGGAGGAAAAGAAACCAACAGGGAUUGCCCUAGUAACGGCGAGUGAAGCGGCAACAGCUCAAAUUUGAAAUCUGGCCCUUUUAGGGUCCGAGUUGUAAUUUGCAGAGGGCGCUUUGGCGUUGGCAGCGGUCCAAGUUCUUUGGAACAGGACGUCACAGAGGGUGAGAAUCCCGUACGUGGUCGCUAGCCUUCGCCGUGUAAAGCCCCUUCGACGAGUCGAGUUGUUUGGGAAUGCAGCUCUAAAUGGGAGGUAAAUUUCUUCUAAAGCUAAAUACUGGCCAGAGACCGAUAGCGCACAAGUAGAGUGAUCGAAAGAUGAAAAGCACUUUGGAAAGAGAGUCAAAUAGCACGUGAAAUUGUUGAAAGGGAAGCGCUUGCAGCCAGACUUGCCUGUAGUUGCUUAUCCGGACUUUUGUCCGGUGCACUCUUCUGCGGGCAGGCCAGCAUCAGUUUAGGCGGUUGGAUAAAGGUCUCUAUCACGUACCUCCCUUCGGGGUUGGCCUUAUAGGGGAGACGACAUGCAACCAGCCUGAACUGAGGUCCGCGCAUCUGCUAGGAUGCUGGCGUAAUGGCUGUAAGCGGCCCGUCUUGAAACACGGACCAAGGAGUCUAACAUCUAUGCGAGUGUUUGGGUGUCAAGCCCAGACGCGUAAUGAAAGUGAACGGAGGUGGGAACCUUUUAGGUGCACCAUCGACCGAUCCUGAUGUCUUCGGAUGGAUUUGAGUAAGAGCAUGGCUGUUGGGACCCGAAAGAUGGUGAACUAUGCUUGAAUAGGGUGAAGCCAGAGGAAACUCUGGUGGAGGCUCGCAGCGGUUCUGACGUGCAAAUCGAUCGUCAAAUUUGGGCAUAGGGGCGAAAGACUAAUCGAACCAUC
rnacentral:rRNA from 1 species